GACAAGUCUCUCCAACAAACUUGGAAAAAUAACCCCCUAACUUCCGGAGAAGGGGUGCCUUCUCAGAAGGUCGCAGUGACCAAACCUGGACAACUGUUUACCAAAAAGACAGGUCUCGGCAAAGUCGUAACACCAUGUAUGGGGUUACGCCUGCCCAGUGCCUGAAGGUUAAGAAAGUUAACUAUAAAGAUCGUAACGUAGUGAAAUUCCUGGUUGGGUAAGUUCAGCUUAUUUUAAAUAUAUUGUUUAACAGUUAGAAAAUUAC
rnacentral:ncRNA from 1 species